CCGCACGCGCGCUACACUGACAGAGCCAACGAGUUCAUUUCCUUGGCCGGAAGGUCUGGGUAAUCUUGUUAAACUCUGUCGUGCUGGGGAUAGAGCAUUGCAAUUAUUGCUCUUCAACGAGGAAUGCCUAGUAAGCGCUGUCAUCAGCACGCGUUGAUUACGU
rnacentral:rRNA from 1 species